ACAUGAUUGUCUGAUACUUAGACCAGGCCUUCUCUUCCAAAUGGAAGGUUCCGGUGGCUUCGGUCCCUUUCUCAUCAACUGUCAGCACAGCCACAUGCACAGCCUGGAGCGGAGAGAAGCAGAGAUACAUUCCGAGGCUGAGCUUUGCCCCAGCCCAGGCCUGGAGCAACGCCCAUGUGGACAGCCGUAUCCUGGGAGCCCCUUCCUCAGCCUCAGGAUGGAGCUGUGACUGCCACACAAUCUGCCAGCUGACACCAGGGGACCACACGGUCUUCUGGGUGACCUCACCUUGGACAGCUUCAGGGGUGCCUCCUGACUGGCUCCAGAGAGGUCGGCCUCGUUGCUGAAGAUCUUGAUGAUGCCCAGAUUCCUGAGGACUCUCUUGAGUUCAUAGGUUCCAGAAUCGGACAGUUUGGGGAAAUGUAGACUGACAGACCUGCCAUGCAGGAAAGAGAAUCAAGGCAUGGAGCAGCAUUUCUCCUGUUCUUCUGGAACCCACCACAGUACCAGGGCUUUCUUUCCUGACUGUUUCUACCACUUAGUGCCGUGUCCUCACCCAUAUCAAGAUCAGAAGUCAGAGGGAGAGGAUCAGAGAAAACAACUAUUGAAUACUAUGCGUAGUACCUGGGUGACGAAAUAAUCUACACAACAAACCCCCAGGGUUUACCUAUAUAACAAACCUGCACAUGGACCCCUGAACCUAAAAGAAAAA